GGCGAAUCUUGCAAUUAUUUUUUUGAAAAUUUAAUUUGAGAAAAGAAAAGAACACAGACGACAGCCAACUCGACCCUCACUUGGCGGGGAGAUGGACUAGUACCUUGAAAUCAAAUUUUUUCCUUACCAUUCAAAAUAAAGCGAAUUACAACCAAGGUCCACAAGCUAUCAAAUUAUAUGAAUUAGGUCCUCAAUUUUUUUACAGGAAACACAAGGAAAAAACAAAAUUGAUAAAGACUACUAAUAGAAAGUUGAUUGUCUAAACUUUGGUUUGAAUUUUGAUUACUUAGUGGUAUUUAUUGGACCUUAAAUAAUUAGGAUAGAACUUCAUGAAAUACAUUUUAGGAUCCAUUUGGGAGGACUUUGAAAAAGUCAAAAGUUGUUUUUGAGACUCAAAAGUUGCUUUUGAACAUAUUUAAAUCUUUUUUUUAAAAAUAUAUUGUAUGGCUAAAAGAGCUUUUAUAUGAUCAUCUGAAAUAACUUUUUCAUGACACUCUUUUACAAUAAGCAAAGCAACAAAAAUCUUGCCAAAUGAGGUCUUUAAUCCAUAUCGCCAAUAGUGAAUAAUGUAAGAACAUUCAUAAUUCCACUUUCACAUCUAAUAAGCUCACUUCCAUAUAAUAAAAGUUGGAUCAUUUUCCAUCAAGCAAAGCUACAAAGAAAAUUUCUAUAUAACAAUUAUCUCCAACCAAGAAUUAUUCUUUUUAUUUUUUAAUAUUGUUGCACCGAAACAUGCCAAUAAUGUAUAGCCGUGAUUGUAACACAUGUAUGGCAGUACAGAAACAGUAGCUGCAAGAAUCAAGAUUUAGAUAUACUAAUAAAUUAAUAAUCUUCUGUCCAAGAUUUUAGCUUCAAUAUCGACUUAUAAUGUCCAAG
rnacentral:lncRNA from 1 species